rnacentral:rRNA from 1 species
UUUAACGGCCGCGGUAUUUUAACCGUGCAAAGGUAGCGCAAUCACUAGUCCUUUAAAUGGGGACCUGUAUGAAUGGUCAAACGAGGGCUUAACUGUCUCCCUUCUCCAGUCAGUGAAAUUGAUCUACCCGUGCAGAAGCGGGUAUAAUAAUACAAGACGAGAAGACCCUUUGGAGCUUAAGGUACAAGACUCACCCAUGUUAAACAAACUCCAAAAAGUUUUAAAACCCGAUGAAAAAUGAGACUCUACCUUCGGUUGGGGCGACCACGGAGAAAAAAAUAGCCUCCGAGUGGAUUGAAUAAUAUUCAAAACCAAGAUAAACACCUCUAAGUGACAGAACAUCUGACCAAAAAUGACCCGGCAACAAGACCGAUCAACGAACCAAGUUACCCAAGGGAUAACAGCGCAAUCCUCUCCCAGAGCUCAUAUCGACGAGAGGGUUUACGACCUCGAUGUUGGAUCAGG